rnacentral:rRNA from 1 species
GACAGAGGUGCCGAGCGUUAGGCGGAAUCCCUGGGCUUAAAGCGUGUGUAGGCGGGUCGUUAAGUGUCUUGUGAAAUCCCACCGCUCAACGGUGGAACUGCUGGGCAUACUGGCGAUCUUGAGCCACCUAGGGGCAGACGGAACAAGCGGUGGAGCGGUGAAAUGCGUAGAUAUCGCUUGGAACGCCGACGGUGAAAACAGUCUGCUGGGGGUGUGCUGACGCUGAGACACGAAAGCCAGGGGAGCGAACGGG